rnacentral:tRNA from 1 species
GAUCGAUUGGGUGAUGUUAUAUCAUGACAGACUUAAAAUCCCUUGGGAGUAAUCCCGUGCGGGUUCGAGUCCCGCCUCGAUCA